AAACUUAACAACCUCAACAGCAAAAGGUAAGUAGACAAACAAGAUGACUCAAAUGAUGCAGGAAAAACAAUACAACACAGACUAACAAAUUUUACAUAAUUAGAGGAAUAUGCAUAGCAAUAAAAAACACAGUUGUUCAUAAUCAUGACGUAUUUUCUAUAUAUCAUCCUCAAUAAUAAAAUUUAAAAAAUGGAAACUUGUAAUAUUACUUGUACACACACAACACACACCAAAACUAGCAUCUAUAAUACUAAAAUAAUAGUAACUGCCACACUGAGCAUAUCCCACCUACCAUCAUGAAAUUUUUAAUUUAAUAAAACUGUAGCAACACCAGCACAGAACACACACCAAAACUAACAUCUGAGAUUUUUUUGCUAAAUAAUAAUGAAACUACUAUAGUUCCAAACACAGUAUAAGCCAUGCCCAAAAUACUUAUCAAAAUUCGAACACGGAAGAAAAGGUGUCGCUCACAAAAAUUAACACAUCCAAAUUCAACAUUUAUUCCGGGAUCAUACACGUCCAGCUUCAUGAAAUCGCAUCGAAAAGGAAUUUCCAACAAAAUUGAGAGCGCGGAUUACCUUAGAUAUGAAGAAAGAACAGGAAUCAAGAUAGAUGUGCGCGGUUAUAGGGUGAAGAUUGUGGAAAUGGGGUUUCCUCUGGUUUUUAUAUCUAACAAGUAUGGUAGCAAAUUUGUUGGAUUCUUAGGGUUGCGAGAGAAGAUCGGAAAUUUCCCUAUCACAAACUUUCUCUCUCUCUCACCUGCAGAUACACGAUAACCCCCCCACGUUACCACCGCUUUCAGUC